rnacentral:SRP_RNA from 1 species
GGCUGGGUCCUGCGCAACGGCUCCCCGUGAACCGAGUCAGGGUCGGAAGGCAGCAGCUCUCAGCGGGCCCGGCCGGGUGCCGCAGCCAACCUGGCCGCC